UACUACAUGGAUAACUGUGGUAAUUCUAGAGCUAAUACAUGCUAAAAAUCCCGACUUCGGAAGGGAUGUAUUUAUUAGAUUAAAAACCAAUGCCCUUCGGGGCUCUCUGGUGAUUCAUAAUAACUGCUCGAAUCGCAUGGCCUUGCGCCGGCGAUGGCUCAUUCAAAUUUCUGCCCUAUCAACUUUCGACGGCUGGGUCUUGGCCAGCCAUGGUGACAACGGGUAACGGAGGGUUAGGGCUCGACCCCGGAGAAGGAGCCUGAGAGACGGCUACUACAUCCAAGGAAGGCAGCAGGCGCGCAAAUUACCCAAUCCCAAUUCGGGGAGGUAGUGACAAUAAAUACUGAUACAGGGCUCUUUUGGGUCUUGUAAUCGGAAUGAGAACAAUUUAAAUCCCUUAACGAGGAACAAUUGGAGGGCAAGUCUGGUGCCAGCAGCCGCGGUAAUUCCAGCUCCAAUAGCGUAUAUUAAAGUUGUUGCAGUUAAAAAGCUCGUAGUUGAACCUUGGGCCUGGCUGGCCGGUCCGCCUCACCGCGUGCACUGGUCCGGCCGGGCCUUUCCCUCUGGGGAGCCGCAUGCCCUUCACUGGGCGUGUCGGGGAACCAGGACUUUUACUGUGAAAAAAUUAGAGUGUUCAAAGCAGGCCUAUGCUCGAAUACAUUAGCAUGGAAUAAUAGAAUAGGACGUGUGGUUCUAUUUUGUUGGUUUCUAGGACCGCCGUAAUGAUUAAUAGGGACAGUCGGGGGCGUCAGUAUUCAAUUGUCAGAGGUGAAAUUCUUGGAUUUAUUGAAGACUAACUGCUGCGAAAGCGUUCGCCAAGGAUGUUUUCAUUAAUCAGGAACGAAAGUUAGGGGAUCGAAGACGAUCAGAUACCGUCGUAGUCUUAACCAUAAACUAUGCCGACUCGGG
rnacentral:rRNA from 1 species